UACGAAGGGGGCUAGCGUUGUUCGGAAUCACUGGGCGUAAAGCGCACGUAGGCGGAUCUUUAAGUCAGGGGUGAAAUCCCGAGGCUCAACCUCGGAACUGCCUUUGAUACUGGGGAUCUCGAGUCCGGGAGAGGUGAGUGGAACUGCGAGUGUAGAGGUGAAAUUCGUAGAUAUUCACAAGAACACCAGUGGCGAAGGCGGCUCACUGGCCCGGAACUGACGCUGAGGUGCGAAAGCGUGGGGAGCAAACAGG
rnacentral:rRNA from 1 species